CAUGUCCAGUGCUGACUUUUCUCAGCCUCUGAAGUGAACAGAGCUACAGCCUCCCUUGCAACCUCGUGGGCAGUUGUGUUUCAGAUUUCAGAAGAUUUGCAGGUUCCUCGGAAGGCGAUGCGGACCAGACUAGGAAGAUAGCCUCAGAGUAGGGUGCAAACUCAUGGCUGCCUAGAGCAACUUGACUCUGAUACAAGGAAGAACCAGCCUGAGGUAGAAAAAAUGAGAUGCUGGCAAGCAGAGAAGCAAAGACGAGCAUAGAUAAAUCAGGCUCCAGCGCAGAACCACACACGCCUCAGCUCACCUCUGCCUUCGCCCAGCCCUGCCCACUCAGAUCUUUCUCCUUAUUUCCCAACCAUGCCACAGAGAGUGAACUCCAGGCUUGAUGAACAGCUCAGGGGCAGGGCACACGCGCAUCAAUGUAAGACUGGAUUCAGGUUCCAUCCUUAGCUCUGGGGGAAACGUGGACAAAUUCUAUGGCUGAGUAAAUUAAGCCUGUAAGGUCAAAGUGCAUGCUCUUGCUAUCGGCUUGAAGGGCAUCCAGCUUGUCCUGUGAAUUUGCUUUUCCAGAACUGCACAACCAAUGAGAGGCUCCUAAAAUUUAACCAGUUGGUUUGAGCUAUCUUUUGUUAAAUUGCUUUUGUCUAUAUGAAACCAUUGACCUUUUU
rnacentral:lncRNA from 1 species